rnacentral:rRNA from 1 species
CUUGUACACACCGCCCGUCACACCACGAGAGUUUGUAACACCCAAAGCCGGUGAGAUAACCUUCGGGAGUCAGCCGUCUAAGGUGGGACAGAUGAUUAGGGUGAAGUCGUAACAAGGUAGCCGUAGGAGAACCUGCGGCUGGAUCACCUCCUUU